AUUAUUUUGGCAGAUUAGUGUAUCAAAUUUAGAAUUUGAGUAUGUAUAUAUUACAAAUAAUA
rnacentral:tRNA from 1 species